GUUUUCCUGAGGUAGGUGAAAGGGUCAUCUCUGUUCUUUCCAGGUGACUAUAUCUGCACAGGCUUCCCUGGGAGGACUUCAUCAACAGCACAGUUACAUAUCAAAGUCCUUCAGCUCUCCCCAGCUGGCACCUAUUUUCACUUUCACUUUCAAUUUUACAGACAGUUUUACAGCUCUUUCCAUUUCAUUCUUGACAAUCUGAGCUACCUUAAAAAAAAAAAAAAAAAAAAAAAAAAGAGGU